UUCUACAGCCACACCACCCUGGACGCACCCAGUCUUGUCUGAUCUUGGAAACUAAGCAGGGUCGUGCCUGGUUAGUACUUGAAUGGGAGAAGUGGAGCAGCCUCUUACCCAUGCGGUAGCCUAGCAGCUAAAGUCC
ensembl:rRNA 5S_rRNA 5S ribosomal RNA